rnacentral:rRNA from 13 species
CGGGUGAGUAACACGUGAGAAUCUGCCUUUAGGAGGGGGACAACAACUGGAAACGGUUGCUAAUACCCCAUAUGCUUUCGAGUGAAAUGAAUUUAUUCGCCUAGAGAGGAGCUCGCGCCUGAUUAGCUUGUUGGUGGGGUAAAAGCCUACCAAGGCUACGAUGGUUAGCCGGCCUGAGAGGGUGAUCGGCCACAUUGGAACUGAGACACGGUCCAAACUCCUACGGGAGGCAGCAGUGAGGAAUAUUGG